rnacentral:rRNA from 1 species
AUUGAACGCUGGCGGCAGGCCUAACACAUGCAAGUCGAGCGGUAGCACAAGAGAGCUUGCUCUCUGGGUGACGAGCGGCGGACGGGUGAGUAAUGUCUGGGAAACUGCCUGAUGGCGGGGGAUAACUAGUGGAAACGGUAGCUAAUACCGCAUAACGUCGCAAGACCAAAGUGGGGGACCUUCGGGCCUCACGCCAUCAGAUGUGCCCAGGUGGGAUUAGCUGGUAGGUGGGGUAACGGCUCACCUAGGCGACGAUCCCUAGCUGGUCUGAGAGGAUGACCAGCCACACUGGAACUGAGACACGGUCCAGACUCCUACGGGAGGCAGCAGUGGGGAAUAUUGGACAAUGGGCGCAAGCCUGAUCCAGCCAUGCCGCGUGUGUGAAGAAGGCCUUCGGGUUGUAAAGCACUUUUGUUGGGGAAGAAAAGCACUGGGUUAAUACCCUGGUGUUCUGACGGUACCCAAAGAAUAAGCACCGGCUAACUUCGUGC